CCUACGGGCGGCAGCAGUGAGGAAUAUUGGUCAAUGGGCGCGAGCCUGAACCAGCCAAGUCGCGUGAGGGAUGACGGUCCUACGGAUUGUAAACCUCUUUUGCCGGGGAGCAAGCGUGCGUUCGUGAACGCACGUCGAGAGUACCCGGAGAAAAAGCAUCGGCUAACUCCGUGCCAGCAGCCGCGGUAAUACGUAGGGGGCAAGCGUUAUCCGGAUUUACUGGGUGUAAAGGGAGCGUAGACGGCAGCACAAGUCUGAAGUGAAAUGCCGGGGCUUAACCCCGGAACUGCUUUGGAAACUGUGCAGCUCGAGUGGAGGAGAGGUAAGUGGAAUUCCUAGUGUAGCGGUGAAAUGCGUAGAUAUUAGGAGGAACACCAGUGGCGAAGGCGGCUUACUGGACUGUAACUGACGUUGAGGCUCGAAAGCGUGGGGAGCAAACAGGAUUAGAUACCCGAGUAGUC
rnacentral:rRNA from 1 species